ensembl:lincRNA
UUUCUGUUGGAGUCCUUUAAGCUUACUGAGGUCUAUUUUUAAGAAGAUACACAAAUAAGAACAGGAGCACCACAACUACGCCCUGGAGGAUAUGGAAGAUGGAAAAACAGGAAGACACAAUUGCCAGUAGAAAUUCUGUCCAGCUGGUCAGAGUUUUAUAAUGCACCAGAGUGAUGCAAGAUUAAUAGCACAGAAAACACACUCAGCAUCAUUCAAACAGGACGUUAAAUGUAACAAUUAAAGGACAGAAAGGAAGUGGCACAGUCAGAGACAGAGCUCAAAAGACAGCAGGAAGAGGUAUUGCAGUAUUGAGCUACCUACCUCAGCCUUGCAGAUUGCUAAAAUUACAGGUAUGUGCCUCACCUACAGGACAAUACUGAGCUAAAUCC